ACGAUGACGUAGUCGAAAACCCGAACGACUCGCCGAAACUUUGGAGAGUGCGAUGUGAGGGUGCAUAUAAAAGUCGUUUUCACAGUUAUCUUAGGUAUUUGCCAGAAAUUGUUAUCUCUGGAAACACACCUAUUACGCGAACAGCAAUCAGGCAGGGCGGUAAGCGCGAAAAUACGAUAACCGAUCCGCCUUGAUAUACGCUCAUGAUUUUUAAAGACUCUAUAUCGACCUUCGGCGGGAAAAUAGGUGCGCUUUUUCCGUCAUCUCACUUGUACUACGGGUUCAGCAAACUCUGGUAGAACAAAGCUGCAACAGACAACCAAUGGAUUAUCUCUUCAAACCAGAUGAGUCCAACUUAAGUUGCCAAGUCGAGCAUAUGGAUGUAAUUGUAGUGUAGUGUAUCCGUCUUUACGAUUCCAUACACUCGAUUGAUGUGCAGGCGAGUACCAAGCUUACCAAGUCCCAUUAGUUGACUCGCUGUGCCGGUUCCGGGGCCACCACCCUUUAUGGGAUUGGCCCGCAUAUUACUCCCAGAUUAAUGCUCGCUGUUUAGGUAGUCGGAUUUCAGAAAAAGCCUUUAACACUCGUUAAUCAACAUAUUCCCACGACUAAGAGAUGUCAAAAGACAGUCUAUGUUUCUUGGUGGAAACCAAGGUGGCUGCAUAAAAGUUUAUCGUUGCAAAGAAAAUGUAAUAAUAAAUGAUGCUGACUAAAGUGGAAAACUAUGGAAAUUAAACAUUAGCGGUACAAGGCGGUUUUCGUGUGGCUGGUCUAGCUGCACAUUCGUAUACGUUGGAACGACCUCAUCAAAGACAGGGUGUGGCAUAUCAUCUCAAGGCGCAACUGGUAUACAUACAAACAGUAUUGCAGCAUGCAACAAGCCCUUUUACUGUUAAUGCUGGUUUGCAUAAUGCGUAACCAAUGUUUUACUUAAAGCUCUAUUAAAUUGUCUGUGCUAUUUCAGAUUAACUGUCAUAUUUGUCUUCUAAAGAGCAGGCUAAGAGAAGCCAAUGAUCCAUCGUCGGACAAUUUGUUAGAGAAGUAAAACUACACUUACCUAAAA